CGGGCGGAGAAGAGGACUGUCGGAAAGGAGGGCGUGAACUAGAGGCGCGCGUGCGCAGAAGGCACAGAGGCCGUUCCUUGGAUAAGUUGGUACUAUGUCAACUGAAACUGUUAUUGGAAGUGCUAAGAGAAGUGGGUGAACGCAGGUAUACCUACUGGAAAGCUAUUGUAACUUUGUAGACAUCAGUAAUGAAUGAUUUGGACCAGAAUAAUAGCAAAGGACAUGAAAAUGUGUGGAAGGAUUUCAAAUAUGUAGAGUUUACUGGAUAACUGGAUGCAGAAGAAACAGAAAAUAAUGAAAAACUGGGAAGCAACUGCUGCUGAAUACUCUCAAAAGGCUUAAAAUCGAGGGCAGCUUUCGUCCGCCCGGCUAGCUCAGUCGGUAGAGCAUGGGACUCUUAAUCCCAGGGUCGUGGGUUCGAGCCCCACGUUGGGCGUUGCGUUUUUGCAUGCUUAAAUUUUAUUAAUGUUUUCAAAACUUCAACUCUCAAAUGUUUGCCAGUUCCGUUAUAACAUUCUUAACUAAUACGGAUUCUUACGCAAAUGAAAUUUAAGUGCUUUCUUAAUCGUCUCUGCAAGAAACACGGUUCUUAAAUGCGCUUGCGCACUCCAAAGCCCAGGCCUACGCCCACGGCUCGGGUUUAAACAAGGAACAAGACUAUUUUUUUAGUGCUAGCGUCCAUAGUUGCUGGUAGGGGGCAGUUGUUCUUUGUUUCUUUUGGG
ensembl:lncRNA LOC102552313 uncharacterized LOC102552313